AUGCAGUCUGUCAGAGAUCAGCUGUUCUUCUCUGGCUUCAGCUCUGAGGUCAAACCCCUCUCAUCUGAGAGAACUGGAUCUGAGAGGAAACAACCUGCAGGACUCAGGAGUGAAGGAGCUGCUUGAUCUACAGCAGAGUCCAACCUGUGGACUGAAGACUCUGAGGUGGGAGUACUGGGAGGAGUCUGAGUCUGAGGACAUGUCUGGGUGGAGCUGAGUGUGAAGAGGACAGUGUGUGUGGACGGAGGCUGAGCUGUGUCCUGAGGAUCCAGAGGCUGAAGCAGCAGCAGCUUGUGUGUAGUCUCCAAUCUACACAACCCCUAAUCUGCAUGUGUUUGUGAGAUGAAGCCGGAGCACCUGGAGAAAACACGUGGAGAACAUGCAGACUCCACACAGGAAGACCCAUCUGAACCGGAUUCAAACCAGCAACCUUCCUGCCCCGAUUGUGUUCAUUCACAUGAAGAAUGUGUUUAUUGAAAUGACACAACACAAGCAGAAUAUAUAAACCCUCGAUAAAGAGUCACAUACAGUGUGUUUAAGUUUGUCUUUAUUAUUGUCCACCUUUGUUACUCAGUCUGUCUCCAUGUGUGUAGAACCACAUUCUGUGUAUAUGUUUGUUUAUGAUCUUAAAGUUCCUGGAUUCACGUCACAAAAUGAUUUAGUUCAACACAAAGUUAAAGAUAUUUAAAUAUAUAUCAGAGCUUCACACCACGACCUUUCUGUUGAGUUAUGAUUUUACAUGUCUCACUGAGGGGCUGCAGCAUCGAUUCAUCUGAUGAUUAUGUUCUUGUUUAAUUCAUAUUUUCUUUUUUUAAUUAAUAGCAAUCAGAGAAAUCAUACAUUUUGUUUUCAGUAAAGUUGAUGUCUUCAAAUCAUUUACAAAUAUAUAAACAGAAAAGAAUCUUUGAUUAUCAAAAUAAAGUUUGGGUUUUAAUGUGUUUGCAGAAAUGAUUAAAGGACUGUUUUCACUUUG